GGCAAGGUGGUCGAGUGGUCUAAGACGUAAGACUGUAUGUUGGCCCCACACACACAUCAUUACCUGGAAAAUCUGUCAUACUAAUUUCUCUCAGUGAAUCCUUAAAUGGACGGUAUCUUAUUCCUUCGGGAGCGCGAGUUCGAACCUCGUCCUUGUCG